GGAAAGUCUUUUCAUAUCAACGUUUUUGUCUCCUCUGCAAAGUCCUCUCUGCCUUGUAAGGUGUUUCUUCCUGUUUAUGGUGCCUUGAAUGAACAAUGGAAGUGGCCACACAGAGCUGAAGCUGCUUUGCUGAAAAGUAUAUAAAAAUUGUGUUGCAAGUGAACAUGGAGGCCGCUCCUGAGGCCAAAAAGUCCUCUGAUUCAGGCCACCCUGUGGCUUGAAGGAGCCAAAGGGAGUAAGAGCUUCGGCCAAGAAAAGACCACAAGAGAAGAGCAAGGUACAGAAUGCAAGGGUUUAUCUAGCACUUACCGCAUUCACAGCAAGAUGGAGGGGGUCAAGAAGUCGGAGGUGGCACCACCAUUACAGAACCUUUCUUCCACCCUGCAACAGCACUGCGAGCACGGGGUGGGGGUCCAGCCCGCAGCACUCACGAGAUCUGGAGGCCGAUGCAGCCCAGCGUGGAGGGUUCUGGACGGCAGAGUGAGGAUCCCAACAGCUGUGGAGCGCCAGCAGCAGGUCUGCUGAAAACAGUGUGGAGCAAAGUCCACCAGCACUGAGUCAGAGGCUGAGUAGGACAGCAGCCAGAGGCUUCCUCUUCUAUGCUGUGAGGAGUUUGCUACAAACAACAUGUGUCGAUUUUAUGGUGGUGAAAAUAUAUUUUUAUUUAUGGUAAAAAUAUAUCGUUUAGAAAGCAUUUAUUUUUUCAAAGUUUCUCAAAAGGAGUUCACGAAGUACGUUUGGCAGGCAGACUAUGUGUAUCACACCUUAUGGUUAGCACACAAGUAGUCACACAGGUGCACAGGUUGGAUGGUUAUCACACCGGUCACACACGAGUUUAGACUCAGAGAGUUAAGUUGGGAACCAGUCAGAAGCUUAAGAUGGCAUCAGUCCUGCUCUCAUCAAAGUGGCACAAAGAAAACCUAUGGAAUUUACCACCCUUAGGUUCUGGGGCCUCUAGAUAGGUUGCUUUCCUCUACCCAUCUUUCACCCUCUUCUGAUGUUUGGUUCAUAUGUAAUGUCAGGAGUUUUCCUUGUGCUUAGAGUGAAGAGUGGGAAAACCUAUGUCUACCCCAUAUUGCCAGAAGUGGUCAUGAAGCUUGGCUUUAAAUAAAUGCUCCUCUUUAGAUCUUCGUGUAACAUCAUUCUUAUUAGACCCCUUUCUUGAGGCAAUUGAUUAUUAGAAACAUGUAUUUGUUUCCCCU